CUUUGAUUCUGGCUCAGGAUGAACGCUAGCUACAGGCUUAACACAUGCAAGUCGAGGGGAAACGACAUUGGAAGCUUGCUUCCGAUGGGCGUCGACCGGCGCACGGGUGAGUAACGCGUAUCCAACCUGCCCACCACUUGGGAAUAACCUCGCGAAAGUAAGACUAAUGCCCAAUGAUAUUGAGUGCAGACAUCUAAUCUCAAUUAAAGAUUCAUCGGUGAUGGAUGGGGAUGCGUCCGAUUAGCUUGUUGGCGGGGUAACGGCCCACCAAGGCAACGAUCGGUAGGGGUUCUGAGAGGAAGGUCCCCCACAUUGGAACUGAGACACGGUCCAAACUCCUACGGGAGGCAGCAGUGAGGAAUAUUGGUCAAUGGGCGAGAGCCUGAACCAGCCAAGUAGCGUGCAGGAUGACGGCCCUAUGGGUUGUAAACUGCUUUUAUAAGGGAAUAAAGUGGGGCUCGUGAGCUCCUUUGCAUGUACCUUAUGAAUAAGGACCGGCUAAUUCCGUGCCAGCAGCCGCGGUAAUACGGAA
rnacentral:rRNA from 1 species